rnacentral:tRNA from 1 species
CAAGACGUAGCUUAACCAAAAGCAUUCAGCUUACACCUGAAAAAUGUCUGAUAACGCCAGAUCGUCUUGA